rnacentral:lncRNA from 1 species
UUUAUCACAUAAUUUUAAAAAUAAACGUUCAACAGGUUUCAUAUUUUUCAAACAACAAAUUACAGCAAAUGCACAUUCUGAAAAUCUAAGAAAAUACAUGCAAAGAGCGGUGUAAAGGAAAUAAUAAGCGACUAUGUCGUCGACCCUAUUCAGAAGAUAGCGUUAAAACGUCAUUUCUUUAAACUGUAACAUAAUCGCUGGACAUUAAAAAAAAAAUCAAGUAUUCGGCCUGGACUAUCGAAUCAUUCAGAUUUUGCAGAUUUUUUUAAACCUCUUGUUAUGCAAAUUUGGAAUAUCGAGUCAUUUCGAAAUUAAAAAAUAGCAAAUACUUAAUUUUUUCACCGAUUCUUCCAUUUGCUAAUAUUAAUCCUUCCAAGUGACUACUUCUUACACAUAACUAACUACAUUCCAAACUCAU